rnacentral:tRNA from 1 species
GGAAGUGUGCCCGAGCGGUUGAAGGGGCUGGCAUGGAGAGCCAGUAAUAUCUAAUCCAUAUUCGGAGGUUCGAAUCCUCUCACUUCCUCCA